GUCUUGUCUCUUUCGUUGCAAAUGCUGAUAGCUAGAUAGCAGUUGAUUUUAACUACUGUCUUUAUAGCUCAUCUCAUCUUUUUGGCAGGACAAAUACAUGCAGAAUAGACUCGUUAGACUUGUAUGUGUUUUCUUGCAGAGUUUGAUACGGAACAAUCACAUUGAUGUCAAGGAGAUCCUGAUUGAAGUCCAAGCCUUCUGCAUAAACUUUUCACGGAUAAGGGAAGCAGCUGGGCUAUUUAGGCUUCUCAAAACGAUGGAAACACAAAAUUCUUAGUUUCUUACGAAAGUUGCUUGUUGUACAUAAUGAUGGUUUCAUUGCGAGAUUUGUAGGAAUAGUUGCGUCUCUCUCUCUCUCUCUCUCUCUCUAGUUGUAAUAGCAAAGAGGAACAUUUUGAGGUUCUGUGGCACCAUCUGGUUGGUUCAGCCAAACAAGCCAUUCUUGCACUUUGAUUGAUCACAAACGACGGAGUCGUCAAUGUUAGUAGAAUCACACAAGCUAAUAUUGUUAUUGGCCUUGCUGGUGGCAA